UAAAAAUGCUAUUCCUGAAUUGUGUACAUCUAGCAUCAUCCAUCACUGGGCUCCUCUGACUUAACUUCCACACUGUGUAUUGGACAUUGAAGCACUGUUACUGCCUGACACGAGUCUGUAGCUGCUCUUUAGAGGCCUUAAGGGCAGGAUGUGAUGGAAGGGAGCCACUACUACCUGCCAUUAUAGUCCAGUCGCUCUUCUGCUCCAAAGUCCACAAGACUGUGUGCAGGUCAGCCGGUUCACAGAAACAGACUGAUCU
rnacentral:lncRNA from 1 species